UACAGAGGGGGCAAGCGUUAUUCGGAAUUACUGGGCGUAAAGCGCGCGCAGGCGGUCUUCCAAGUCAGUGGUGAAAGCCCGGAGCUCAACUCCGGAACUGCCAUUGAAACUGUAAGACUUGAGGAUGAGAGAGGUGAGUGGAAUUCCCAGUGUAGAGGUGAAAUUCGUAGAUAUUGGGAAGAACACCGGUGGCGAAGGCGGCUCACUGGCUCAUUUCUGACGCUCAGGCGCGACAGCGUGGGGAUCAAACAGG
rnacentral:rRNA from 1 species